GCGCAUGUUUGUUUUCAGUCAGCUGUUCUUGCUGACGUCACGGUUGACUUAUUAUUCGCCCGCGCCUUUGAAUCUGAAUUCGAAUUGUAUUUUCGCGUGUAGUAGUAUAUUUUUUAAAAUGAGUUGCGCAGUGUUCGGAUGCAAUAAUAACAGUGUUAAAAAUAGUAGUACGAAAUGGAGAUUUUUCCAUUUCCCUUAGGAUAAAAAAGUACUAAAACAGUGGAUUCAUUUUUGUGCGCACUGUGCGCCAGAAGCCUUCGAAAUAAAUUUGCAGUGUGAAAUGGUUUAAGUUCGCGGAGUCUAACGAAGUUGCUACCUAGCGCUUUUCUCACGUUAACAAGACUAACUUCUGCAGAGGCUAAUGAACGGCAGAAAAGGAUGGAGUCUCGUUUAAACCAGGACGUUUUAGAAAAUUUGUUUGGCGUAAUCAGGUUAAAAGACGGUCUUCACGAUCACCCUGACGGGAAGGAGUUCAAGUAUAGGCUACGUUCCUAUGUACUUGGUCACAACGAAAGACCGAUUACAGAUGAAGGAAAUGUUGAAGUCGACAACACCCCAGAUUUCGAAGGGAAUUACAUCUCUAACCGGUAAUAUUUUUCAACGUGUGUCAGUUGAUCUAAAUUCCGCUGACCCAAUUGAAAAAAAUGAUGACUUGAAGAUUCUGAACAACGACGGGCUUUAAAAUUUGGCAGUGUACAUCUGUAUCAAGGUACAUUCAGAAAACUGUUCGUCUUAUACUUGGGUAGAUCACCUAUCUGAAGGAGGACUUUCAAAACCAACAGAUAUAUUGAUGGAGCAUAUGAGAGCCUUGCAAGCAGUAUUUGACGAUUUAAAUGGUACU